AUCCACGAGCUACACACGUCAAGGACCCAUAUGAGACCACGCUCGCUCACGCGCCAGCGAGUACGGCUAUACUCGCCUUCUUCGCAAGUUCCUGCAUUUGUAGGUUGAAGGUCUAACUUCCAGAGCUCCUAACGAGCUCGAUUCUCAACCAACAAUAAUUCUACAAAGAUCAAAUUAAAGCUAGGAAUGUAAUGAAUCGAUCCUAUUCACAGAAAGUUCAAAAGUGGUUCGUGUCGUCUAGAACUUUGGCUUAAAUGUGGCCAAAUGGCCACGGUCAACUUUUCCCGGAAAUCUGGGAAUUUCUUCCCAACUUCCAGAGUUGAUUUCUAACUCAAUAGUUACCUAAACUCAAUGAUUCAAAAUCCAUUUUAAAGUUAGAAAUAUAGAGAACAAGUCUAUACCUAUUAUGAGUCCAGUCGUAGUCGAGGUUGGCCAGAAAAAUGGCCUGAAGGUGGCCAAAUUGCCACGGGUCCGAGUUUCCAGAAAUCUGGGAAAUUUUAUCCUAACUUUGAAGGCAAAUUUCUAGUUCGCUACCUAACCAUUUUCAGUGUUCUACUUAUAUAUUUGAAGCUCGUAAUG
rnacentral:lncRNA from 1 species